rnacentral:lncRNA from 1 species
UUAGGACACAUCUAGAUGUGCUUUGGUAAAACCGAAGAAAAAGAAGAAGACACGUCCAAUUUGUAAAUUAUUAAUCAAUCGUCUUGCAUCAUUAGUCAGCCCGUUAAUUAACUGGACUAUAGGUUAUACAAUCUGUCAAAAAAAUAACUGUGCGGUAUAUAUAUAUACCUUCAGACUCGAUUGCUGGAGGAAUAAACUAAGUGACCGCCGGGCUCGUGUACUCGAUGGCAUGGUUCAUCGAUCGGCACCGCGGCAGCAUCUACGCAGCCUGAGACGGCCGGACUAGCUAUCAUGGCGCCGCGGAGGCGUCUGGCGAUCGACUAGAGCGGAGGCAGGCGCAGAAUCGAUCUCAACUGGAGAUGGUAGGCUAGGCCAACUCACGCUGGUGGCCUAAAGGGAAAACAUGGGCUUGGGUAUACAGCGCAACACAAUUGGAGGUUUGGUUAACUUUGGGCUUCUACGGAUCUACAAGGC